ensembl:processed_transcript
GCGAGUUGCGACCAGUGUUUCAUAUACAAAAAUGGAUGAAACGAAUGAAAACAGAACUGAUGAGUGUGUUGAGGAUAGCAGUGAGGAUGAAGAUGAAACGCUUGCUUCGGAGGAAUCGUCAGACGAAAGUGCCGCUUCCAGCGCGGACUCUGGAGAGGAGAUGUUCCUCGAGGCGAUGGACCCCGUUUUGAAUGGGUUUAUAGAUGACUCUGAUGAGGAUUGGUCUCCAGAGGUCACCCCACUAAAGAAGAAGAGAAAGGGUCCGUCUUCUGUUUCUCCAUCCCCAGCAAAGUCUCGUAGAACUGCUUCACCUGGCUCUGCACGGAGUGCCAAAGGUAGGAAAGGCAGCGUGAGACGAUCUUUACCAUUUUCCUGCAGUAUCCUAGAAAGCAAGUGGAAAAGUGUAGAUGAGCCUGAUAUUGAGCCGCCUCAGCUAUUGUUUAAACCCAAACGUACACCCGGUCCACAGUUGAUAUCCACUUCGUCAUGCAGCGUUCUGCAGUAUUUUCAGUUAUUCUUUUCCAAAUCAGUGAUGCAGAAAAUUGUAGAUCAUUCAAACAUCUACGCCUCCAUGCAUACAAACGAAAAGAAGAAACCCUGGAAGAACAUCACCAUCAAAGACCUGAAAUCAUUCAUAGCCAUGGUGAUUUACAUGGGCAUAGUGAAAUGCUUCAAUCUGACAGAUUAUUGGAAGAG